AGCUCCUGAGUGAGGCUUUAAACGUGAGGAUGGGAAUGUGGUGACAAGGACUCUGUGAGUCACCUGCGAGCUAAAGUCUGCUUUGCGGAGAGGAACACAUUCUGAUGGGCACAAGCCAGAAGGAUCCUGCCUGGGUUUGACUCUGCUGAGGCCACUGAGUGCAGCACGGAUGGAGUAGGUCCGUGGUUUCUUGCGUCGUG
rnacentral:lncRNA from 1 species